rnacentral:rRNA from 1 species
CCUACGGGUGGCAGCAGUAGGGAAUAUUGCUCAAUGGGGGAAACCCUGAAGCAGCAACGCCGCGUGGAGGAUGAAGGUUUUCGGAUUGUAAACUCCUUUUGUUAGAGAAGAUAAUGACGGUAUCUAACGAAUAAGCACCGGCGAACUCCGUGCCAGCAGCCGCGGUAAUACGGAGGGUGCAAGCGUUACUCGGAAUCACUGGGCGUAAAGAGCGCGUAGGCGGGAUAGCAAGUCAGAUGUGAAAUCCUAGGGCUUAACCAUAGAACUGCAUUUGAAACUGUUAUUCUAGAGUAUGGGAGAGGUAGGUGGAAUUCUUGGUGUAGGGGUAAAAUCCGUAGAGAUCAAGAGGAAUACUCAUUGCGAAGGCGACCUGCUAGAACAUAACUGACGCUGAUGCGCGAAAGCGUGGGGAGCAAACAGGAUUAGAUACCCCGGUAGUC